AUUGAACGCUGGCGGCAUGCUUUACACAUGCAAGUCGAACGGUAACAGGCCGCAAGGUGCUGACGAGUGGCGAACGGGUGAGUAAUGCAUCGGAACGUGCCCAGUCGUGGGGGAUAACGCAGCGAAAGCUGCGCUAAUACCGCAUACGAUCUCUGGAUGAAAGCGGGGGACCGAAAGGCCUCGCGCGAUUGGAGCGGCCGAUGUCAGAUUAGGUAGUUGGUGGGGUAAAGGCUCACCAAGCCAACGAUCUGUAGCUGGUCUGAGAGGACGACCAGCCACACUGGGACUGAGACACGGCCCAGACUCCUACGGGAGGCAGCAGUGGGGAAUUUUGGACAGUGGGCGCAAGCCUGAUCCAGCCAUUCCGCGUGCAGGAUGAAGGCCUUCGGGUUGUGAACUGCUUUUGUACAGAACGAAAAGGCUCUGGUUAAUACCCGGGGCUCAUGACGGUACUGUAAGAAUAAGCACCGGCUAACUACGUGCCAGCAGCCGCCGUAACAC
rnacentral:rRNA from 1 species